GAUGAAGAACGCAGCGAAAUGCGAUAAGUAAUGUGAAUUGCAGAAUUCAGUGAAUCAUCGAAUCUUUGAACGCACCUUGCGCUCCUUGGUAUUCCGAGGAGCAUGCCUGUUUGAGUGUCAUUAAUAUAUCAACCUCUUCAGCUUAUGCUUGUUGAGUGUUGGAUGGUGGGGGUUUGCUGGUGUCUUAUGAAGUCAGCUCCUCUGAAAUGCAUUAGCGGAACAAUUUGUUGACCGUUCAUUGGUGUGAUAAAAAUAUCUACGCUAUUGACGUCAGUCAGUUCAGCUUCUAACAGUCCAUUGACUUGGACAAAUUUUUCAUUAAUGUGACCUCAAAUCAGGUAGGACUACCCGCUGAACUUAAGCAUAUCAAUAAGCGGAGG
rnacentral:misc_RNA from 1 species